AGCUACAGGCUUAACACAUGCAAGUCGAGGGGCAGCAUGGUCUUAGCUUGCUAAGGCCGAUGGCGACCGGCGCACGGGUGAGUAACACGUAUCCAACCUGCCGUCUACUCUUGGACAGCCUUCUGAAAGGAAGAUUAAUACAAGAUGGCAUCAUGAGUCCGCAUGUUCACAUGAUUAAAGGUAUUCCGGUAGACGAUGGGGAUGCGUUCCAUUAGAUAGUAGGCGGGGUAACGGCCCACCUAGUCUUCGAUGGAUAGGGGUUCUGAGAGGAAGGUCCCCCACAUUGGAACUGAGACACGGUCCAAACUCCUACGGGAGGCAGCAGUGAGGAAUAUUGGUCAAUGGGCGAGAGCCUGAACCAGCCAAGUAGCGUGAAGGAUGACUGCCCUAUGGGUUGUAAACUUCUUUUAUAAAGGAAUAAAGUCGGGUAUGGAUACCCGUUUGCAUGUACUUUAUGAAUAAGGAUCGGCUAACUCCGUGCCAGCAGCCGCGGUAAUACGGAGGAUCCGAGCGUUAUCCGGAUUUAUUGGGUUUAAAGGGAGCGUAGAUGGAUGUUUAAGUCAGUUGUGAAAGUUUGCGGCUCAACCGUAAAAUUGCAGUUGAUACUGGAUAUCUUGAGUGCAGUUGAGGCAGGCGGAAUUCGUGGUGUAGCGGUGAAAUGCUUAGAUAUCACGAAGAACUCCGAUUGCGAAGGCAGCCUGCUAAGCUGCAACUGACAUUGAGGCUCGAAAGUGUGGGUAUCAAACAGGAUUAGAUACCCUGGUAGUCCACACGGUAAACGAUGAAUACUCGCUGUUUGCGAUAUACUGCAAGCGGCCAAGCGAAAGCGUUAAGUAUUCCACCUGGGGAGUACGCCGGCAACGGUGAAACUCAAAGGAAUUGACGGGGGCCCGCACAAGCGGAGGAACAUGUGGUUUAAUUCGAUGAUACGCGAGGAACCUUACCCGGGCUUAAAUUGCAGAUGAAUUACGGUGAAAGCCGUAAGCCGCAAGGCAUCUGUGAAGGUGCUGCAUGGUUGUCGUCAGCUCGUGCCGUGAGGUGUCGGCUUAAGUGCCAUAACGAGCGCAACCCUUGUUGUCAGUUACUAACAGGUUCCGCUGAGGACUCUGACAAGACUGCCAUCGUAAGAUGUGAGGAAGGUGGGGAUGACGUCAAAUCAGCACGGCCCUUACGUCCGGGGCUACACACGUGUUACAAUGGGGGGUACAGAGGGCCGCUACCACGCGAGUGGAUGCCAAUCCCCAAAACCUCUCUCAGUUCGGACUGGAGUCUGCAACCCGACUCCACGAAGCUGGAUUCGCUAGUAAUCGCGCAUCAGCCACGGCGCGGUGAAUACGUUCCCGGGCCUUGUACACACCGCCCGUCAAGCCAUGGGAGCCGGGGGUACCUGAAGUGCGUAACCGCGAGGAGCGCCCUAGGGUAAAACUGGUGACUGGGGCUAAGUCGUA
rnacentral:rRNA from 1 species